rnacentral:rRNA from 1 species
CACGUAGGGGACGAGCGUUGUCCGGAUUUAUUGGGCGUAAAGAGCGUGUAGGCGGCCAGGUAGGUCUGUUGUGAAAACUCGAGGCUCAACCUCGAGACGCCGAUGGAACCAUCUGGCUAGAGUCCGGAAGAGGAGAGUGGAAUUCCCGGUGUAGUGGUGGAAUGCGUAGAUAUCGGGAGGAACACCAGUGGCGAAGGCGGUUGCCUGGAGCUUUGCUGACGCUGACUGCGCGAAAGCGUGGGGAGCGAGUCCGG